GAUGAAUGCUGGCGGCGUGCCUAACACAUGCAAGUCGAGCGGCAGCGCGAGUAGUUUACUACUUGGCGGCGAGCGGCGGACGGCUGAGUAACGCGUGGGAACAUGCCCCAAAGUGAGGGAUAACUGCUCGAAAGGGUAGCUAAUACCGCAUAUGGUCUUCGGAUUAAAGGAUUUAUCCGCUUUGGGAGUGGCCUGCGUACGAUUAGAUAGUUGGUGAGGUAAUGGCUCACCAAGUCGACGAUCGUUAACUGGUCUGAGAGGAUGAACAGUCAGACUGGAACUGAGACACGGUCCAGACUCCUACGGGAGGCAGCAGUGGGGAAUAUUGCACAAUGGGCGCAAGCCUGAUGCGGCAACGCCGCGUGAGGGAUGACGGCCUUCGGGUUGUAAACCUCUUUUAGUAGGGAAGAAGCGAAAGUGACGGUACCUGCAGAAAAAGCACCGGCUAACUACGUGCCAGCCGCCGCAGUAA
rnacentral:rRNA from 1 species